rnacentral:lncRNA from 1 species
CGUGAUGGAGUCCAAGAAUAAGAGAACGCCACCUUCAAUAUCGUCGAAAAUUCCGGAGUUGAGGUAAAAUGACACGCAACUUUUGUCUCAUAGCUUUCACGUCAGCCCAUUUCAGCCACAAGAUUGGUUUUGCAACCUUAUUGACACAAAACUCACGACCCGACUUGACCAAAACUCAACAAUGUGUAGCUCCCCAAAACCUGAUAACCCGAUUAAUUUGCAACCUUAUCGACACAAAACCCAUCACCCAACGAAUCUGCCUGUCUGACAGCCGUGAGAAGUUUGUUCAACAUUUUUUGUUCAUGUUUUGCAGGCAGAACGCGAGCCCGAUGCUUGGUCCUUCUCCAUCUCGCAAGCUAGCGAACGGCAAUGGCGCUCCGGUGCACCGGAACGGCAGGC